rnacentral:lncRNA from 1 species
UUUUGGUGAGGACUGUAGUUACCUGGAAAGGCCUUAGGAUAGUGCCUGGUACAUAGUGAGUGCUGCAUCAGUGUGAGCUAUUAUAAUUAUGGGAAUAGACAAAGGUGCCACCCUGGCCAUCCAGAGUGGGGAGGUAUUUUCCAGUCAGGGUCCAGGCAGGCCAGCUGGAGAUGAAGCUGAUUAGUGGGGAAGCUUAACUUCCAGGAGUGGAAGAAUUUAGGAGGAGUAAACAGAAUGCACAACAUUCUGUAAACAUUCCUUUACCCAACAGUAGGAAUGCUCAUAGUGGGUGUGGCUUCCGUGACAAUCAUUAUCUCUUGGGAAUUUAAGAAUGUGUCCUAGAGUCAAAUGGCUUUGAUGUAAGCCAAACCCAGAAAUGGGCUUCAGGUCUGCCUUACACAUAGCAUUCAUUCAUCUUGAAAAAGGAAAGCAUUCAUCUUGCUAAAGGAAUCCCCUCUUCUGGCCCAGGUCAUUAUUUUUGUUUUUGUACUGUCCUAAUUUUUAAGGUGUAAGGAGAAAGACCAAAGAAUAAAAUAAUGAAGUACAUGUAUGAAAUAACAGGGUAGAAUUGAGACUGGUACGUGUAAGUUAAGAGAAAUUGUGUAUAAAUUUUGUGUGAAUAGAAAAAGGAUUUCUUGUUGCAAACAGACCUCUCUAUAUAAAUAAUACCCAUUGCCUUCAGUGGAUAGCAGACUGCAUCACAAGAACAUUCCAGCAGAGUCACGAGAGAAUGGGUAGUGUGGCUUCUGUAAUUGGCAGGUUAGACAGAGUAAGUUACUGAAGAGAAAGGAGUUGAAGGAGAAGAUGGGUGAGGGCAAGAAAAAUGGGAAGGUGAAAGGAAAGAACUGAAAGGAAUGUUUACCAAGGGCUCAUCAGGUACCAGGCUCUGUGAUUAAUGUCUCACACAUGUUAAUUUACUCUUCCACUGUCAUUUUCUGAUGCAGUAAGAGUCAGUCUUACACUGCAGAUGAGGAAAGAGGCUGAAGGAGGUCAAACGAGUGGCCCAGGGUCAUCCAGCCACUUCAUAGCAGAGCUAGUGUGUUUCACUGUGGUUUGCGCAGACAGAAAAGUGAGACAUGGAAGGAAGGCAAAACAUUUUUCUUGUCGGUGAUGUUUAUGAAAGUGACCUGUAUGAGGCAGAAUAAUGGCCUCUUAAAAAUGUCCACUGCACCCAGCCCAUAAAUCACACAUUUCUUUGAGUUUUUGUAAUUCCAGCACAAGAGAAACCGUUUGAUAUUUGAAGAAUGGCUGCACACAAAUAUUUGCACAGAAAUAAAAACAUCUGUAGAUUCCACCACAUGAGGGAGAAUACCAGUAUGACUAUCAGGAGGAAAAUAUCAAGAGUUUGGAAUAUGCACCUUAGGCAAGAUGCAAACCAACUACAAUAGGAUAGAUCAAAGAAGAAGCCAGAAGAGUCUAGUCAUUUUAACCAGGCAGCACAUUUAUUGAUUUUUACAACUGAGUCUCUAUAAUACCCGAUGUAUUUAUCCAUGUGCAACAAGAAGUGUCAGAAACUGCACAGACUCCCCGCUGUCCAGCUGGUAGAGAACAAUUCUAUUAUCUAGCAUUGCAUGUCUAUGUUAAAUUAAAACAGG